GCUGGGUGUGGUGGCGCACACCUGUAGUCCCAGCUACUCGGGAGGCUGAGGCAGGAGAAUUGCUUGAACCCAGGAGGUGGAGGUUGCAGUGAGCCAAGAUCACACCACUGCACUCCAGCCUAGGCAACACAGCGAGACUCUGUCUCCA
rnacentral:SRP_RNA from 1 species